rnacentral:rRNA from 1 species
UGGGGAAUCUUCCGCAAUGGACGAAAGUCUGACGGAGCAACGCCGCGUGAGUGAAGAAGGUUUUCGGACCGUAAAACUCUGUCUUUUAGGGCGAACGUAUUGCUGGUGAACAAUCAGCGAUAGUGACGGUACUAAAGGAGGAAGCCACGGCUAACUACGUGCCAGCAGCCGCGGUAAUACGUAGGUGGCGAGCGUUGUCCGGAAUUAUUGGGCGUAAAGCGCGCGUAGGCGGGAUAGUCAGUCUGUUGUAAAAGUGCGGGGCUCAACCCCGUAAGGUCAAUGGAAACUGCUAUUCUUGAGUGCAGGAGAGGAAAGUGGAAUUCCCAGUGUAGCGGUGAAAUGCGUAGAUAUUGGGAGGAACACCAGUGGCGAAGGCGACUUUCUGGACUGUGUCUGACGCUGAGGCGCGAAAGCCAGGGGAGCGAACGGG